AUGUGGAGGAACACCAGUGGNCGAAGGCGGGCUUUUUUGGUCUUGUAACUUGACGNUNAGGCGCGAAAGCGUGGGAAGCAAACAAGGAUUAGAUACCCUGGUAGUCCACGCCGUAAACGAUGAGUGCUAAGUGUUAGAGGGUUUCCGCCCUUUAGUGCUGCAGCUAACGCAUUAAGCACUCCGCCUGGGGAGUACGGCCGCAAGGCUGAAACUCAAAGGAAUUGACGGGGGCCCGCACAAGCGGUGGAGCAUGUGGUUUAAUUCGAAGCAACGCGAAGAACCUUACCAGGUCUUGACAUCCUCUGACACUCCUAGAGAUAGGACNUUCCCCUUCGGGGGACAGAGUGACAGGUGGUGCAUGGUUGUCGUCAGCUCGUGUCGUGAGAUGUUGGGUUAAGUCCCGCAACGAGCGCAACCCUUGAUCUUAGUUGCCAGCAUUCAGUUGGGCACUCUAAGGUGACUGCCGGUGACAAACCGGAGGAAGGUGGGGAUGACGUCAAAUCAUCAUGCCCCUUAUGACCUGGGCUACACACGUGCUACAAUGGAUGGUACAAAGGGCAGCAAAGCCGCGAGGCCUAGCCAAUCCCAUAAAACCAUUCUCAGUGGAUUGUAGGCUGCAACUCGCCUACAUGAAGCCGGAAUCGCUAGUAAUCGCGGNUCAGCACNAACGGGUGAUAAAA
rnacentral:rRNA from 2 species